UAGGCUGUUAUAAAAAUCCUGAGAUAGUCUGC
rnacentral:piRNA from 1 species